rnacentral:lncRNA from 1 species
UCUUUUUUCCUCCUCCUGUCUUCCCUUUAGUGAAUGACUUAUAAAUUAAUGCUUAGGGAACCUGGCUAUGAUGCAGAGAAAACUCGUGUUCAAAGCUUCUAUUUAUCUUUCUAUUUAUUUCACUCUGUGAAUAUCUUCACUGUGGGUCAAUUUGUUAUCCUUAUUGGUUUUGACCAGAAAGUCAUACAUAGAUUUGAGAAGUCUUCAAGUUUAACAGAAAUAGAUGUAAUUUAUUUUUAAACAUUCACAUUUUCCAAUGGAAGAAAUGCAUGCACAUAUGGAUUCCAAGUUAAAAAGUCUCGGGGUCUCCUCUGCCAGAAGAGUUUGUUAGGGAUGUGGUUCGGGUGAACUGACUACAACCUCUUCCCUUUCCCAGUAUCUGCAAGUAGGCAGUGCCCGAGGUGAGAGGAGGAACAGUCAGUGAUCCUCAGCCAGGGUGAAUUGACCCUUUAACCAAUACACAGUCACCAUUUGCUUCCCAGGUCGUCUCCUCUAACACACAAUUUUAUAUUGUCCUUAUUGGAGCCUUGAUUUUUUUCAUUGAAGAGCUGCAACCAUUUGCUUUAUUUUUCACAGCUCCAAGAUCAGUAAUAAACACAUACUAUCACUUUCUUUCCCCAAAGCAUUUACUUUUUGGAUCCCCUUUAUCCUGCGCUAUCGGGAUAUGCUGUCUAGAUAUGCUAUAUCCUCCAGAUAUGCUAUAAUAAGCUAGUAUUGUUAUUGGGAUGGUUAAGAGCCAAUAAAAUAUUUCUGGAAUAAAAUAAUCUCUGAUGCAUAAGUGUGCGUGAAGAGGAAUGGCCAAUAUUUGCAGAGACUCCUAUUCAUACCCAUGGGUGGAGAAACUCAAAACACCAGCCCAAAUCUGAAUUUGCUCAUUAGGUCUACGCUGAGCAAACGAAGAUGGGGUUGAAGAAACCAGUUACUACAAUUAUCUGUUCCUUUGCAGACAUCUGUGUCAGCCAAGUUCUCACUCUCCUGCUUUGUCACCCACCGCAGGCUGUUGCUUUGGUGAUGCCUGACAUAACACAAUCAACCAAUACCAAAUGUGACCAUCCUGAACGUUAGCACCAGGGCUCAUAUCCAUUAAGGUGUUUGGGUGUCUGCUCACUGCGAUGUGGCUCUACACCAUUGGGUUGAGUGACACCGCAGUGACCGAAGCCAGGGGCUCACCUGGCUCUGCAGGACUCCCCCAAAACACGGGGCACCAGGUGGUGCAAAGCCACUGUUGUGCAUCCGGUGCCAUCUGCCCUCCUGGCCAUCAGCACGGAGGCUCUUGGAUGCGCCAGCAAGUCCUGGCUGCCAGAGCAAUCCCUCGGUGCUGCUGACAGCUUGUAUGAGGGACAGGACUGUGUCCAGAUGGCCCCAGAUUUCGAGGAACUGCACUGAGAGAUCAGAACUGAACUCACCCCUCCCAUGUCAGUGGUGGGGGCUGAGAGCUCUUUCUUCUCCCAUAUCUCCCAUACCCUACUCCCGUCGCCUGCCAUCCCUGACAGUAUCAUCACUGACAACGCCAUCCCACCACCACACAGGUUGGCAGACAUCCCUGGCUCCUCCCAACCUGUACCGCCUGUCACCUUCCCUCCACCA